UGAUUGCAUACAAUAAAGACUUGUGCUCCCAAGUUCCUGUGUCCCGGGUGUUCUGUUGAACAAAGAACUACUGCUCAAUGAGGCAGUGGCCAGAGACGUCUGAAGACCUGGGAUAAGGGAUAUAAAGGCAAAAAUGAAGCAACUUACUAAUGGCAUAGCGAGAAGAACACGAGUUCUGAAAUCCAAAGACCUGCCUUCAGAUCCCAGCUCUGAUGCAAAGUUCCUGAAUCUUAGUAAGCACUAUCCUCCAGCCAGCUCCAACUCGUGGCUCCAGUCUGUUGCGAGGAGUCUUUUCUUCCAGAGUGUUCUGUCUCAGAGCCCUGUUGAUGUUCUGGAGAAAUUUCUUUUUUGCUCCAAGAGCUUCCUUCAUUAAGGCCUGGAGAGACUUACACGAACUGAUGCUGAGUGAAAUGAGCAGGACCAGGAGAUCAUUAUAUACUUCAACAACAAUACUAGAUGAUGACCAGUUCUGAUGGAUCAGGCCAUCCUCAGCAACGAUAUCAACCAAAUCAUUUCUAAUGGAGCAGUAAUGAACUGAACUAGCUAUGCCCAGAAAAAUAACUCUGGGAGAUGACUAAAAACCAUUACAUUAAAUUCCCAAUCCCUAUAUUUAUGCACACAUGCAUUUUUGAUUUCCUUCACAAGCUAAUUGUACAAUAAUUCAGAGCCUGAUUCUUUUUGUACAGCAAAAUAAUGUUUUGGUCAUGUAUACUUAUU
rnacentral:lncRNA from 1 species